CGUGUAGGCGGCCUCUUAAGUCUGAUGUGAAAGCCCGGGGCUUACCCCCGGAAGUGCAUUGGAGACUGGGAGGCUCGAGUACCGGAGAGGAGGGUGGAAUUCCUGGUGUAGCGGUGAAAUGCGUAGAUAUCAGGAGGAACACCGGUGGCGAAGGCGGCCCUCUGGACGGAUACUGACGCUGAGACCCGAAAGCGUGGGGAGCAAACAGGAUUAGAUACCCUGGUAGUCCACGCUGUAAACGAUGGGCACUAGGUGUUCGGGGUAUUGACCCCCUGAGUGCCGCAGCUACGCAUUAAGUGCCCCGCCUGGGGACUACGGCCGCAAGGUUAAA
rnacentral:rRNA from 1 species